rnacentral:miRNA from 1 species
UGCACGUGUAUGUGUGCAUGUGUGCAUGUGCGUACAUACACACACACACACACACACACACACACACACACACAC